UACAGAGGGUGCGAGCGUUGUUCGGAAUUAUUGGGCGUAAAGGGCGCGUAGGCGGUGCGGUAAGUCACCUGUGAAAUCUCCUGGCUCAACUGGGAGCUUGCAGGCGAAACUGCCGUGCUGGAGUGUGGGAGAGGUGAGUGGAAUUCCCGGUGUAGCGGUGAAAUGCGUAGAUAUCUGGAGGAACACCGGUGGCGAAGGCGGCAUCCUGGACCGGCAUUGACGCUGAGGCGCGAAAGCCAGGGGAGCAAACGGG
rnacentral:rRNA from 1 species